rnacentral:rRNA from 1 species
UACGUAGGGUGCGAGCGUUAAUCGGAAUUACUGGGCGUAAAGCGUGCGCAGGCGGUUGUGCAAGACAGAUGUGAAAUCCCCGGGCUCAACCUGGGAAUUGCAUUUGUGACUGCACGGCUAGAGUGUGUCAGAGGGGGGUAGAAUUCCACGUGUAGCAGUGAAAUGCGUAGAUAUGUGGAGGAAUACCGAUGGCGAAGGCAGCCCCAUGGGAUAACACUGACGCUCAUGCACGAAAGCGUGGGGAGCAAACAGG